rnacentral:rRNA from 1 species
AGAGUUGAUCCUGGCUCAGAGCGAACGCUGGCGGCAGGCCUAACACAUGCAAGUCGAACGAAGUCUUCGGACUUAGUGGCGGACGGGUGAGUAACACGUGGGAACGUGCCUUUAGGUUCGGAAUAACUCAGGGAAACUUGUGCUAAUACCGAAUGUGCCCUUCGGGGGAAAGAUUUAUCGCCUUUAGAGCGGCCCGCGUCUGAUUAGCUAGUUGGUGAGGUAAAGGCUCACCAAGGCGACGAUCAGUAGCUGGUCUGAGAGGAUGAUCAGCCACAUUGGGACUGAGACACGGCCCAAACUCCUACGGGAGGCAGCAGUGAGGAAUCUUGCGCAAUGGGGGAAACCCUGACGCAGCAACGCCGCGUGAGUGAGGAAGGUCUUCGGAUCGUAAAGCUCUGUCGGAUGGAAAGAACCGCAUAGGGGUAAACAGCUCCUAUGUCUGACGGUACCAUCAAAGGAAGCACCGGCUAACUCCGUGCCAGCAGCCGCGGUAAUACGGGGGGUGCAAGCGUUGUUCGGAAUUAUUGGGCGUAAAGAGCGUGUAGGCGGCCUGAUGUGUCAGAUGUGAAAGCCCUGGGCUUAACCCAGGAAGUGCAUUUGAAACUGUCAGGCUUGAGUAGGGGAGAGGGAAGUGGAAUUCCUAGUGUAGAGGUGAAAUUCGUAGAUAUCAGGAGGAACACCGGUGGCGAAGGCGACUUCCUGGCCCUAUACUGACGCUGAGACGCGAGAGCGUGGGUAGCAAACAGGAUUAGAUACCCUGGUAGUCC